rnacentral:rRNA from 1 species
UACGGAGGGUGCUAGCGUUGUUCGGAAUUACUGGGCGUAAAGCGCGUGUAGGUGGUGGGACAAGUCUGCUGUGAAAGCGCCUGGCUUAACCGGGCGAGGUCGGCGGAAACUGUCGCACUCGAGGACGGUAGAGGGGGUGGAAUUCCCGGUGUAGUGGUGAAAUGCGUAGAUAUCGGGAGGAACACCUGUGGCGAAAGCGGCUCACUGGACCACAACUGACGCUGAGGCGCGAAAGCUAGGGGAGCAAACAGG